UUUGCAGUCACAGGACACUCCCAACCCAAUGUGAACGUUACCAAACUGUUGCCUCGGCGGGGUCACGCCCCGGGUGCGUCGCAGCCCCGGAACCAGGCGCCCGCCGGAGGAACCAACCAAACUCUUUCUGUAGUCCCCUCGCGGACGUAUUUCUUACAGCUCUGAGCAAAAAUUCAAAAUGAAUCAAAACUUUCAACAACGGAUCUCUUGGUUCUGGCAUCGAUGAAGAACGCAGCGAAAUGCGAUAAGUAAUGUGAAUUGCAGAAUUCAGUGAAUCAUCGAAUCUUUGAACGCACAUUGCGCCCGCCAGUAUUCUGGCGGGCAUGCCUGUCCGAGCGUCAUUUCAACCCUCGAACCCCUCCGGGGGAUCGGCGUUGGGGAUCGGGACCCCUCACACGGGUGCCGGCCCCUAAAUACAGUGGCGGUCUCGCCGCAGCCUCUCCUGCGCAGUAGUUUGCACAACUCGCACCGGGAGCGCGGCGCGUCCACGUCCGUAAAACACCCAACUUUCUGAAAUGUUGACCUCGGAUCAGGUAGGAAUACCCGCUGAACUUAAGCAUAUCUAGAGGGGGGAAAGGGAA
rnacentral:rRNA from 1 species